ACGAGGAGCUUGCUCCUUUGAUGUUAGCGGCGGACGGGUGAGUAACACGUAGGUAACCUACCUAUAAGACUGGGAUAACUUCGGGAAACCGGAGCUAAUACCGGAUAAUAUUUCGAACCGCAUGGUUCGAUAGUGAAAGAUGGCUUUGCUAUCACUUAUAGAUGGACCUGCGCCGUAUUAGCUAGUUGGUAAGGUAACGGCUUACCAAGGCAACGAUACGUAGCCGACCUGAGAGGGUGAUCGGCCACACUGGAACUGAGACACGGUCCAGACUCCUACGGGAGGCAGCAGUAGGGAAUCUUCCGCAAUGGGCGAAAGCCUGACGGAGCAACGCCGCGUGAGUGAUGAAGGUCUUCGGAUCGUAAAACUCUGUUAUUAGGGAAGAACAAACGUGUAAGUAACUGUGCACGUCUUGACGGUACCUAAUCAGAAAGCCACGGCUAACUACGUGCCAGCAGCCGCGGUAAUACGUAGGUGGCAAGCGUUAUCCGGAAUUAUUGGGCGUAAAGCGCGCGUAGGCGGUUUUUUAAGUCUGAUGUGAAAGCCCACGGCUCAACCGUGGAGGGUCAUUGGAAACUGGAAAACUUGAGUGCAGAAGAGGAAAGUGGAAUUCCAUGUGUAGCGGUGAAAUGCGCAGAGAUAUGGAGGAACACCAGUGGCGAAGGCGACUUUCUGGCCUGUAACUGACGCUGAUGUGCGAAAGCGUGGGGAUCAAACAGGAUUAGAUACCCUGGUAGUCCACGCCGUAAACGAUGAGUGCUAAGUGUUAGGGGGUUUCCGCCCCUUAGUGCUGCAGCUAACGCAUUAAGCACUCCGCCUGGGGAGUACGACCGCAAGGUUGAAACUCAAAGGAAUUGACGGGG
rnacentral:rRNA from 1 species